GGGUUGUAGCUCAGUGGCAGAGUGCUGACCUAGCACAUGUGAGGCACUGGGUUCGAUCCUCAGCACCCA
rnacentral:tRNA from 1 species